rnacentral:rRNA from 1 species
GCCCUAGUAACGGCGAGUGAAGCGGCAACAGCUCAAAUUUGAAAUCUGGCGUCUUUGGCGUCCGAGUUGUAAUUUGCAGAGGGCGCUUUGGCAUUGGCAGCGGUCCAAGUUCCUUGGAACAGGACGUCACAGAGGGUGAGAAUCCCGUACGUGGUCGCUAGCCUUUACCGUGUAAAGCCCCUUCGACGAGUCGAGUUGUUUGGGAAUGCAGCUCUAAAUGGGAGGUAAAUUUCUUCUAAAGCUAAAUACUGGCCAGAGACCGAUAGCGCACAAGUAGAGUGAUCGAAAGAUGAAAAGCACUUUGGAAAGAGAGUUAAAAAGCACGUGAAAUUGUUGAAAGGGAAGCGCUUGCAGCCAGACUUGCCUGUAGUUGCUCAUCCGGGUUUUUACCCGGUGCACUCUUCUACGGGCAGGCCAGCAUCAGUUUGGGCGGUUGGAUAAAGGUCUCUGUCAUGUACCUCCUCUCGGGGAGAUCUUAUAGGGGAGACGACAUGCAACCAGCCUGGACUGAGGUCCGCGCAUCUGCUAGGAUGCUGGCGUAAUGGCUGUAAGCGGCCCGUCUUGAAACACGGACCAAGGAGUCUAACAUCUAUGCGAGUGUUUGGGUGUCAAGCCCGAACGCGUAAUGAAAGUGAACGGAGGUGGGAACCUUUCGGGGUGCACCAUCGACCGAUCCUGAUGUCUUCGGAUGGAUUUGAGUAAGAGCAUAGCUGUUGGGACCCGAAAGAUGGUGAACUAUGCUUGAAUAGGGUGAAGCCAGAGGAAACUCUGGUGGAGGCUCGCAGCGGUUCUGACGUGCAAAUCGAUCGUCAAAUUUGGGCAUAGGGGCGAAAGACUAAUCGAACUAUCUAGUAGCUGGUUCCUGCCGAGC